GCCGGGUGUGAUGGCACACACCUGUAAUCCCAGCUACUUGGGACGCUGAGGCAGGAGAAUUGCUUGAACCCGGGAGUCGGAGGUUGCAGUGAGCCAAGAUCAUGCCACUGCACUCCAGCCUGGGUGACAGAGCAAGACUCUGUCUCAA
rnacentral:SRP_RNA from 2 species